rnacentral:rRNA from 1 species
UCGGGAAUUUUGGGCAAUGGGCGAAAGCCUGACCCAGCAACGCCGCGUGAAGGAUGAAGUAUUUCGGUAUGUAAACUUCGAAAGAAUAGGAAGAAUAAAUGACGGUACUAUUUAUAAGGUCCGGCUAACUACGUGCCAGCAGCCGCGGUAAUACGUAGGGACCAAGCGUUGUUCGGAUUUAUUGGGCGUAAAGGGCGCGUAGACGGGAAGAUAAGUCAGAUGUGAAAUCUUGGGGCUCAACCUCAAAACUGCAUUUGAAACUAUUUUUCUAGAGGGUAGGCGGAGAAAAUGGAAUUCCACAAGUAGCGGUGAAAUGCGUAGAUAUGUGGAAGAACACCGGUGGCGAAGGCGAUUUUCUAGCUUAUUCCUGACGUUGAGGCGCGAAAGCAAGGGGAGCAAACAGGAUUAGAUACCCCGGUAGUCCCUGAGCGGGCUGGCAAGGCGCAU